UACGGCUACAUCACGUUGAAACACCGGUUGCCGUACGAUCACCGAAGUUAAGCAACGUCAAGCCUGGUCAGUACUUAGAUAACCGCUUGGGAAUAAGA